rnacentral:rRNA from 1 species
UACAGAGGUCUCAAGCGUUGUUCGGAUUCAUUGGGCGUAAAGGGUGCGUAGGCGGCGCGGUAAGUCGGGUGUGAAAUCUCGGAGCUUAACUCCGAAACUGCAUUCGAUACUGCCGUACUUGAGGACUGGAGAGGAGACUGGAAUUUACGGUGUAGCGGUGAAAUGCGUAGAUAUCGUAAGGAAGACCAGUGGCGAAGGCGGGUCUCUGGGCCUUACCUGACGCUCAGGCACGAAAGCUAGGGGAGCGAACAGG